rnacentral:rRNA from 1 species
GGACUACAGGGGUAUCUAAUCCCUUUUGCUCCCCAUGCUUUCGUGCCUGAGCGUCAGUAACUGUCCAGGUAACCGCCUUCGCCUCUGGUGUUCCUCACGAUAUCUACGCAUUUCACUGCUACACCGUGAAUUCCGUUACCCUCUCCAGUACUCUAGUCGAGUAGUUUCAGACGCAGUUCCGAGGUUAAGCCUCGGGAUUUCACAUCUGACACACCCAACCGCCUGCGCACCCUUUACGCCCAGUGAAUCCGAAUAACGCUUGCAGUCUCUGUAUUACCGCGGCUGCUGGCAC